rnacentral:rRNA from 1 species
GAUGAACGCUGGCGGCGUGCCUAAUACAUGCAAGUCGAGCGAACGGACGAGAAGCUUGCUUCUUUGAUGUUAGCGGCGGACGGGUGAGUAACACGUGGAUACCCUACUUAUAAGACUGGGAUCACUUCGGGAAACCGGCGAUAAUACCGGAUAAUAUUUUGAACCGCAUGGUUCAAAAGUGAAAGACGGUCUUGCUGUCACUUAUAGAUGGAUCCGCGCUGCAUUAGCUAGUUGGUAAGGUAACGGCUUACCAAGGCGACGAUGCAUAGCCGACCUGAGAGGGUGAUCGGCCACACUGGAACGGAGACACGGUCCAGACUCCUACGGGAGGCAGCAGUAGGGAAUCUUCCGCAAUGGGCGAAAGCCUGACGGAGCAACGCCGCGUGAGUGAUAAAGGUCUUCGGAUCGUAAAACUCGGUUAUUAGGGAAGAACAGAUGUGUAAUUAGCUGUACACAUCGUGACGGUACCUAAUCAGAAAGCCACGGCUAACUACGUG